rnacentral:lncRNA from 1 species
GCGGCUCUUUCUAGGAGUCUAGUUUCUUGCUAAUUGCAGAUGAAGCCUGAUCUGAUGGAUCCCCCUCGCCUUGAGAAUGCUCUGAUACUCUGAGACCUGGAGCUGGAUGUUUAGGAUAAUGCCUUCCUUGGAGCCUCACGCUUUGGGAAGGUGGUGAUUGACUGAUUCGUGCAUGUCCAUGCAAUUUGGCGCAUUCAGCUGCGUGCUUGCGGAUGUGGAUGUAUUUCACAGAAGCAGCAGCCUGCCUUCCCUUCCCUGGAUUCCAUCUGCUGUGCGAAACAAGAUCUGCAGUCAUUCCCAGGUGCUGAUCAGAAACCCACAAAUAUCUGCCAGGCUGGCAACAGACCCUAAAGAGAGGAUCCCUGGAGCCAGAGGCAAGGAAAUCUACAGCACUGUCCCGUCCCUUCUUUCAGCUCAUCCUGAUUGGUACAACCUCACAGGUUUGGGAAGAUCUCUGCAAAGCCUUCAGUAGGUUCUCUGAACCCUGGUUAGCAGGACUAAGGGAGAAAUAUGAGUUUGCUUAGGAUCCAUGGUGUGCCAGGAGUGCAUAAGCUCCAUAAUAUGGGCAGGGAUGUUUGUCUUGUUCACUCCUGUAUCCCCAGCACUGAGAAAAAUAAUGACAUAAAUAGGUGUUCAACAGAUAUCUACAGAACAAGCACAUGAAUUAUAGAAAGAAAAUGAAUCAUGCCUGGGUUCUUCCAUCAUGGCAAUUUCCAAUCCUCUUCUUAUAAGCCAAAGUUCUUUUUCUUAUGAAUGCCUCCAGGGUUUCCCUAUUCAUCCUUUCACCAACACACACAAAGCACUUAAUCCGUGCUUAAUCCUAGUACAGGUCCUUAGUGACACAUACGCUAAUCUGCUUUUCGCCACCUAGUGCCAGAUUUGUAAAUUGACUCCUCCUGAACCUUCCUUUCCAGAGAAAUGGAAGGUUUCCCCUCUUCACUCUGUGGAGUUAGGGACCUGGGAAAACAUCUUUUCCUAUCCUCUUCUUUUGAGGGAAAACAAUUAUUAAUGCAUCACAAAAGAAAAGUAUAUAUUCUCACCUCAGAUAUGUUAUCAAAGGAAAUGAUAAGUUGUUUUCAUAGUGUUGAGCUUUAUAUAUAAGGUAGAUUUGGGGACCAGACAAGCUGGUAUGAAUCCCACUGCUGCCCACGGUAGGUAUGAGAAUUGGCAGGUUACUUUUAUAUUCUUAGUUUCAGUUCUUUCCCCCCUAAUAUGGAUGAAAAUAAUAGUAAUGCCUCUCAAGGCAAUGUGUAAAACAUACCCAUGGUAAAUAUUCAUUCAUUUAUUUAUUUAACAAAUAUUUAGCAAAUGCCUUAGAUGUCCCAAGCAUUAUUCUGUUAUAGCCUCUUGGAUACAGCAAUUAACAAUGCAGAUGACAAAUCUCUGUCCUUAUUUUGCUUAUCAAUUAGUGUUAAAUAAAGAUUAGCCAUUAUUAUUGAUAUAUUAUACUAAACCUGAAUACUCUAGAACUUUUCAUCUAGACUAAGUCUUUUCUUCCCCUGUAAUUGAUGUCAGUGAGUCAUUUGUAUUUACUGCACAACUGCAGAGUACAGAGCCCUGGAUUGAGUCUAUAUGGAGGGGGAAGAGGAAGGAGGAUAGACUGAAGACGUGGCCUCUGCCUUCAGGAGUUUAUAGUGCACACGCAAAGACUAGCAAGGAUGAAAGGACUUUUGAAUUUAAGAAACAUGCAUAAAUUAAACAUACCGCUCUUUUUGGCUUGUCCUCUGAGUAAUAAGAACACGAGUGGAUUUUCAUCACUGUCUGUUGUAAUCUUUCCAGAAAAACCACUGAACCAUUCUGAAGGCUUCAGGAAGAGAAAACUAAUGGCUUUAUCUGAACUCCUUGGGAAAGAAUGGGGUUUAGUAAGUAAAUGGAUGCAUGUUUCUUAAACUGGCAAGAAUCCUCAUCAAGUGUCCUGACAAGGCAACAAGCAGAUGAAUGUCAAUGUUAUGUAUCUGACACAUUACCCACACACGUAACUCUGUGAUUUUAUAGAAUUUUAGCCUCUGAAGGAGAUUUUAAUUAUCCUCUUACUCAAAUCUUUACCUUUACAGAGAAGGAAAUACAUGCAGAGGGGAAGAGUGAUUUCACCCGAGGUGGUGCGGCUAGCAUGUGGACUGCCUGGACCAAUGCCUCAGUAUCCCCAUCGCCAGCACAGUGUUUUUUCUAGAACCUCUUGAAGCCUAAAGCCUCAGUAUCCCCAUUCUUAGUCCAGAGUUCUUUUUAGAACCUCUUGAAGCCUCCUUCUGUCUGACUUGGAGUGAAAACCCUUAGAGCUCAAUGGCCUUUUUAACCAAAUUGCUUGCUCUGAGCUCAGGCUAGUGGCAUGUUGUGAGGGAAUCUGAGUAGGAGCUUGUUGAUAAACAGGUCCUGGCAGUGAGAUUAGACACAUUUCUAGUUAUGGAAAAAGAAAGGGGGCUUUGCAGGUGCUUUUCCUCAUACUGUUCUCUUCUCAAGGAGUUCAGAUAAAGCUGCGAGUUUUCUUCUCCCAGACCCCUCAAAAUGGUUCCACAGUUUUUUUCUGGACAGACUUGAAUUAACAGUCUAAUCUCACUAGUACUGAGAGAGAGCUGAGAACAAGCAAGAAAGGGUGGUGUGUUGAAUGCAUCCAUGUUUCUUAAAUUCAAGAGUCCUUUUGAUCCUUGCAAAAGACCUCUGUCACUGUGGAGGAGACAGUACUCCAAGUUCCCCCAGUCUUGACUAAACCCCGUCUUCAAUGCCUUUUGCUUCUGAAAGGAUCUAGAUUCGCUUGGGAAAGGGGGAGAGAUUUUAAAAGGAGGUGACACCUAGUGGUCACUGUGACAAACAGCAGCCUACAGCGAAGAAGGCCGGUUGCUAAGGGUAGCAGCUGCAGCCAUUUGUCUCCACUCUGACUAAAUGGCCGGAAGAAUCAUAGAAUGUUUAUAUUGGGAGCAACCUCCAGAGAUUUUCUGUCAAGACAUCUGCCUCCAGCCAGCACGAAUAAUAUGUCUUAUGCUUAUGGUGUUGUAUAAAACACUUUUACAAAUAUUAUCACGUUUAAUUCUCACAUCGGCCCUGUGAAUUUUGUAACAUCAUUAUCUCUUUUUUAAAGACGAGAUGAUCAGUCAUAAUUUAGGCUUCUUGAGCAAAAUCACUCAGCUAGUGAGCCAUGAAGUAGGAGCUAGGAGUCAGGCCCUCAG